UUUCCAUCUAGCCACCAUUAUCAUGAUUGUUGAUGACAUCGCUGCUACAGAGGGUCAUCGGCGUCACUGUUGCGGUUGCUGCCACGAAUUAGGAAUAAAAGGGACUAUUGCGUUAAAUUCCGCAAUAGCGACAUCGAGUGACACAGGUUUGAAGACGCAAUUUGAAGCUGCGAGCAAUUAGUAGGUUUUCUUUAUGGUUUUAAUUGGUCUGGUAGAGUCCCCUCACUGAUUGUCCCUUGAGAUUUUAUUUCAUAUAGAGGGGUAGGUUUGGUAUAUUGUAUUUGAGUUUUAUUUGGUUUCUUUUGUAUAAGAAUUAUUAUCAAUAAUAUUUAUGUGAUUAUUAUUAUUUGUAAAUGUUUGAA